UACGGAGGGAGCUAGCGUUGUUCGGAAUUACUGGGCGUAAAGCGCGCGUAGGCGGCUUUGUAAGUUAGAGGUGAAAGCCUGGAGCUCAACUUCAGAAUUGCCUUUAAGACUGCAUCGCUUGAAUCCGGGAGAGGUGAGUGGAAUUCCGAGUGUAGCGGUGAAAUGCGCAGAUAUCAGGAAGAACACCAGUGGCGAAGGCGACUCGCUGGACAGACAUUGACGCUGAGGUGCGAAAGCGUGGGGAGCAAACAGG
rnacentral:rRNA from 1 species